ensembl:misc_RNA Metazoa_SRP Metazoan signal recognition particle RNA
UCCGGGCAUGGUCAUGCACACCUGUAUUCUUAGCUACUCAGAGGGCUGAAGCAGGAGGAUCACAUAAGCUCAGGAACCUUGGGCUUUAGUGCACUAUACUGAUACGGUGUUCACAGGAAGUUCAACAUCAAUAUGGUGACCUCCUGGGGGCAGGGGACUGUCAGGUUGCCUAAGUGGGCAAUGAGCUGGCCCAGGUCAGAAACGGAGCAGGUCAAAGUUUUCGUGCUGAUCACUAAUGGGAUCACCUUUGUGAAUAGCCACUGUACUCUAGCCUGGGCAACGUAGCAAGACCUCGUCUAGU